AUUGAACGCUGGCGGCAUGCUUUACACAUGCAAGUCGAACGGCAGCGGGUCCUUCGGGAUGCCGGCGAGUGGCGAACGGGUGAGUAAUGCAUCGGAACGUACCCAGACGUGGGGGAUAACUACGCGAAAGCGUAGCUAAUACCGCAUACGCCCUGAGGGGGAAAGCGGGGGAUCUUCGGACCUCGCGCGAUUGGAGCGGCCGAUGUCGGAUUAGCUAGUUGGUGGGGUAAAGGCCUACCAAGGCGACGAUCCGUAGCUGGUCUGAGAGGAUGAUCAGCCACACUGGGACUGAGACACGGCCCAGACUCCUACGGGAGGCAGCAGUGGGGAAUUUUGGACAAUGGGCGCAAGCCUGAUCCAGCCAUGCCGCGUGAGUGAAGAAGGCCUCGGUGUAAGACUCUUCGUCCGGAGGAAGUACGCACAGGUUAAUACCUACGUGUGGA
rnacentral:rRNA from 1 species